GAAAUGAGAUCGCUAGCUUGUCCCACUCGGAGGAAGCUCAAUUAACGGCAUCAGGCGCGGUCAGCCCUUCACCAGUGCAGGAAGGCGGCAGCCCUGAGCUGGGCAGCAGUGCCAGGCCUGCAGUCCUGAAAACGGGGUGUGAGACCCCAGCCCCGAGGGACCACAGACAGCCCUCUGACAGAUGAUUCAGUGUGGGACCACCGCAAAACCA
rnacentral:lncRNA from 1 species